GUCCGGAAUCAUUGGGCGUAAAGAGCGCGUAGGCGGUCCGGUAAGUCCGCUCUGAAAGUCCGGGGCUCAACCCCGGGAGGCGGGCGGAUACUGCCGGGCUAGAGUCCGGAAGAGGCGAGUGGAAUUCCUGGUGUAGCGGUGAAAUGCGCAGAUAUCAGGAGGAACACCGAUGGCGAAGGCAGCUCGCUGGGACGGUACUGACGCUGAGGCGCGAAAGCGUGGGGAGCAAACAGG
rnacentral:rRNA from 1 species